GAUGAACGCUCGCUACAGGCUUAACACAUGCAAGUCGAGGGGAAACGACAUCGAAAGCUUGCUUUUGAUGGGCGUCGACCGGCGCACGGGUGAGUAACGCGUAUCCAACCUGCCCAUCACUUGGGAAUAACCUUGCGAAAGUAAGACUAAUACCCAAUGACAUCCCACGAAGACAUCUGAAUGGGAUUAAAGAUUUAUCGGUGAUGGAUGGGGAUGCGUCUGAUUAGCUUGUUGGCGGGGUAACGGCCCACCAAGGCAACGAUCAGUAGGGGUUCUGAGAGGAAGGUCCCCCACAUUGGAACUGAGACACGGUCCAAACUCCUACGGGAGGCAGCAGUGAGGAAUAUUGGUCAAUGGGCGAGAGCCUGAACCAGCCAAGUAGCGUGCAGGAUGACGGCCCUAUGGGUUGUAAACUGCUUUUAUAAGGGAAUAAAGUGGGUCUCGUGAGACUUUUUGCAUGUACCUUAUGAAUAAGAACCGGCUAAUUCCGUG
rnacentral:rRNA from 1 species